rnacentral:rRNA from 1 species
UGGGGAAUAUUGCACAAUGGGCGAAAGCUUGAUGCAGCGACGCCGCGUGAGGGAUGACGGCCUUCGGGUUGUAAACCUCUUUCAGCAGGGACGAAGCGCAAGUGACGGUACCUGCAGAAGAAGCACCGGCUAACUACGUGCCAGCAGCCGCGGUAAUACGUAGGGUGCAAGCGUUGUCCGGAAUUACUGGGCGUAAAGAGUUCGUAGGCGGUUUGUCGCGUCGUUUGUGAAAACCAGCAGCUCAACUGCUGGCUUGCAGGCGAUACGGGCAGACUUGAGUACUGCAGGGGAGACUGGAAUUCCUGGUGUAGCGGUGAAAUGCGCAGAUAUCAGGAGGAACACCGGUGGCGAAGGCGGGUCUCUGGGCAGUAACUGACGCUGAGGAACGAAAGCGUGGGUAGCGAACAGG